rnacentral:rRNA from 1 species
GGAUGAGCCCGCGGCCUAUCAGCUUGUUGGUGGGGUAAUGGCCUACCAAGGCGACGACGGGUAGCCGGCCUGAGAGGGUGACCGGCCACACUGGGACUGAGACACGGCCCAGACUCCUACGGGAGGCAGCAGUGGGGAAUAUUGCACAAUGGGCGCAAGCCUGAUGCAGCGACGCCGCGUGAGGGAUGACGGCCUUCGGGUUGUAAACCUCUUUCGCCAGGGACGAAGCGUAAGUGACGGUACCUGGAUAAGAAGCACCGGCUAACUACGUGCCAGCAGCCGCGGCCG